rnacentral:sRNA from 1 species
ACGUGCCAUCUUACGCCUCUACCGGUAGUACUAGGAUGGGUGACCUCCUGGGAAGUCCUCGUGUUGCACCCC